UACUUAGGAAUAUGCCUUUGAGUGGGGGAUAACUAUUGGAAACGAUAGCUAAUACCGCAUAACGUCUACGGACCAAAGGGGGCGCUUGCGCUCUCGCUCAAAGAGUAGCCUAAGCGAGAUUAGCUUGUUGGUGAGGUAAAGGCCUACCAAGGCGACGAUCUCUAGCUGGUCUGAGAGGAUGAUCAGCCACACUGGGACUGAGACACGGCCCAGACUCCUACGGGAGGCAGCAGUGGGGAAUAUUGGACAAUGGGCGCAAGCCUGAUCCAGCCAUGCCGCGUGUGUGAAGAAGGCUUUCGG
rnacentral:rRNA from 1 species